AAAAUCCGAAACUAGUCCGCUACACUUUGAACUCACGACCUUACUUUCCACGAACGAUUCCAAUCUCCUCUAAAAACAUCAAAUAUGAAAUCUACGCGUCAAAACAAAACCAACGACACCCAUAUUGACUACUUUUGGUUCGAGGUCAAAACGGACCCAUGGAACGGGUUUUCGAACAAGAAGGGCAAAAUCGAAACUUUACUUCAAAAAUAUGUUUCCCAUAUUUUUAGGAACCUACAGCUGAAAAUCCAAGUUAAAUCGAGUCAAAAACGAAGUUCA
rnacentral:lncRNA from 1 species